rnacentral:rRNA from 1 species
UACGAAGGGGGCUAGCGUUGCUCGGAAUCACUGGGCGUAAAGGGUGCGUAGGCGGGUCUUUAAGUCAGGGGUGAAAUCCUGGAGCUCAACUCCAGAACUGCCUUUGAUACUGAAGAUCUUGAGUCCGGGAGAGGUGAGUGGAACUGCGAGUGUAGAGGUGAAAUUCGUAGAUAUUCGCAAGAACACCAGUGGCGAAGGCGGCUCACUGGCCCGGUACUGACGCUGAGGCACGAAGGUCAGGGGAGCAAACGGG